GACGAACGCUGGCGGCGUGCUUAACACAUGCAAGUCGAACGAAGAGCGAUGGAAGCUUGCUUCUAUCAAUCUUAGUGGCGAACGGGUGAGUAACGCGUAAUCAACCUGCCCUUCAGAGGGGGACAACAGUUGGAAACGACUGCUAAUACCGCAUACGAUCUAAUCUCGGCAUCGAGGAUAGAUGAAAGGUGGCCUCUACAUGUAAGCUAUCACUGAAGGAGGGGAUUGCGUCUGAUUAGCUAGUUGGAGGGGUAACGGCCCACCAAGGCGAUGAUCGGUAGCCGGUCUGAGAGGAUGAACGGCCACAUUGGGACUGAGACACGGCCCAGACUCCUACGGGAGGCAGCAGUGGGGAAUCUUCCGCAAUGGACGAAAGUCUGACGGAGCAACGCCGCGUGAGUGAUGACGGCCUUCGGGUUGUAAAGCUCUGUUAAUCGGGACGAAAGGCCUUCUUGCGAAUAGUGAGAAGGAUUGACGGUACCGGAAGAGAAAGCCACGGCUAACUACGUG
rnacentral:rRNA from 1 species